rnacentral:lncRNA from 1 species
UUUUUUUUUAUUUUUUAUUUUUUUAGAUUUUAUUUAUUUAUUCAUAGACACACAGAGAGAGGCAGAGACACAGGCAGAAGGAGAGGGAGAAGCAGGCUCCAUGCAGGGAGCCCGACAUGGGACUCGAUCCUAGGUCUCCAGGAUCACACCUCGGGCUGCAGGUGGCGCCAAACCGCUGCGCCACCAGGGCUGCCCUGAUGGUUAGUUUUAUAUAUAAACUUCAGUGGUCUUGAGGUGCCCAUAUUAUAUCUGAGUUUAUCUGUUAGAGCUGUUUCCAGAGAAUAGCAUUUGGAUUGUUGGCCUCAGUGGACUGCCUUUCUCAGUGUGGAAGGGCAUCUAAUCUGUUGAGAGCCUAAACAGAAUUAAAAGAUAGAGGAAGGAGGAAUUUGUUCCUUUCUUCCCACUUCAUCAUUUGAGCUGAGAUCUCUCAUUUCAUCUUCUCCUGACCUUGGACUGCGAUUUAUACCACCGGCUCCUCUGGUUCUCAGGCCUUCAAAUUUGGAAUGGAUUACUCCACUGACUUUCUUGGGCCUCCAGGUUCAAACAGCAGAUCCUGGGAAUUCUCAGCCUCCACAGGUUGUUUCUCUGGAGAACCUGGACUACUACAGAUUUUGGAACUGAGAGUGGAGUGCUCCUAUAACAAAUAUCUAAAAAUGUAGAAGUGGCUUUGGUACUGGAUAACAAAUAGUGGCUGAAAAAGUUUAGAGGUGCAUGCUCAAAAUGAAAGGGCCAUUCUGGUGAGGUCCCAGAAAGAAAAGAGGAGAGGUGGAAAAAAAACUUCAAUCUUCUUAGAAAAUAUUUAAAUAAUCCUGAACGGAAUGCUGGUAGCAAUACAGACCACAAGCGCACUAUGAUUAGGUUUCAGAUGGAAAUAAGGAACACAUUAUUGGAAACUGAAGAAAAGAUGAUCCUUAAUUUAAAGUGACAAAGAACCUGGCAGAACUGUGUUCAUGUUGUAGUGUUUUGUGGAAGGUAGAACUUGCAAGCAAUACAUCAGCUAUUUAGCUGAGGACUCAGAUCUCUAAGCAAAGUAUUGAAGGAAUGACCUGGUCCCUCCUGAAUAUUUAUGGUAAAAUUGUUAAGCUAAAAAAAAAAAAAAAAAAAGAAGAAGAAAGAAAGAAGGAACUAGAACUUAAAGAUUGGAAAUGUUUUCAGCCUAUCCACACUGCAAAAAAUAAAGUGUUUUUGGAAGAGGACACUAAUGGUGUAGCAAAGUGACCAUUUAAUAAGAAGAUUAAUACCUAAACCACAGACCUAAAACAUCCAUCUCAACAGAAGCCAGGUGCUGUUCUUCAAGAUAAGGAAAGAAUAAUAACAACACUACCACCACUACCACCACCCACUGCCAAGGUAAAUCAGAGAUCAUCAAAGUUGCCACUGCUAUCACAGGCCCAAAGUGCAAGAAUUCAGGGGACAGAAUGGUUUCAAAGGGUAGGAUGCCUCUUUCUUACAUCUAAACUAAGACAAUAUGGAAUUUUAUUUCACUCAGUGAGAGAACUUAUAUUUUAAUUUGUUCAUAUAGAUAUUUCCAUAAAGCAAACUAUAACAAAUAUUCAACAGUAAGUAUAUUACAGACCACAGUCACUGAUCAUGAUUUAAUGACACUAGAAAUAAUUUUUAAAUGGUUUGAAACAUCUUAAAAUUUGAAAAUUAACUGAUCAAAGAGGAAAAAUCACAGGCUCCCUAUAAAUUAAUGGAAAGAUAAAUACAUAAAAAAAAUGCACAGAACACAGCAAAAGCCAUACUUAAGUAAAAAUUUAUGCCCCUAAAUCCUUUCAUUAUGAAGAAAAUGACAAUCACAUGAAUGUUAUAUUUACCUUAAGGUUAAAAAAAGCAUAAAAGUAACCAAAAGAAAAUAAAAAGAAUGAAUAAAAAUAACAGAUAUAAUUAGUGAUACAGAAAGUUGGUAAUUCCAAAAACGUGUUUUUUUAACUGCUUAAGAAUAUAAAACAAAACAAAUAUUAGCAAGACUGGGAAAGAAUAAAUGUAUUAUUUCCUAGAAAAUAUAAAUAACCCAAAUUAAACCAAGUAGUAAACCCAAAAUUACCAAAGAAAGACUAGAAAGGUGACUAUCAUUUUUAUUUAUUUAUUUAUUUAUUUAUUUAUUUAUUUAUUUAUUUAGAUCUUAUUAUUUGAGAGACAGAGGUGGAGAGUGUGCAUGAACUGUGGGAAGAACAGAGGGAAAGGGACAAGUAGACUCUGCUGAGCACAGAGCUUGAUUCAAGAGCUCAAUCCCAUGACCCCUAAGAUCAUGACCCAAGCACAAAUCAAAAGCCCAAUGCUUAAAUGACUGAGCCACUCAGGCAGCUAUUAUUUUCAAUAACACAUCCAAAAAACCUUUAAACCUGAAUUCUAGGGGCACCUGGGUGGCUCAGUGGUUGAGCAUUCACCUUUGGCUCAGGUCUUGAUCCAAGGUCCUGGGAUCAAGUCCCACAUCGGGCUCCCCACAAGGAGCCUGCUUCUCCCUCUGCCAAUGUCUCUGCUUCUCUGAGUGUCUCUCAUGAAUAAAUAAAUAAAAUAUUUUUUUUAAAUCUGAAUUCUAACAGUUAAGUAACAACCACAAUGUUAUUUAAAUUAUUCCAUACCAAAUAAAAGAUGAAAUGUUUUCCAAUUCAUUUCAUAAAACAGCAAAACUUUAUUACCAAAACUUAAUUAAAAAACAAACUCUAAAACUAUAUAUCUUUCUAAUUAUUUCAGUUACUAUGGCUACAUAAAAAAUAAAUAAAUAACCCUAAUAUUGACCAAGACACCGUUUACUUUGCUCAUGAAUCUGCAAUUUAAACAGCUUGUCUCUGCUCCACUUAGCAUCAACCAGGGUGGCUCAAAGGCUGGGGACUGAAAUUAAAUAAAGCCUCAUUCACUAAUGUGUCUGAUGGCUGACGCUGUCAGAUGAAACCCUGGCUGGCUUCACAUAGCUUCUGUAUGUAGACUAGGCUUCCUCAUACUAUAGUGGCUAGGUUCCAAAGGUAAGCAACCUGAGAGAGCCAGGCAAAAAACAGUACCACCUUUUCUGACCUAACUUCCUUAUAAGUCAUAUCAGCUCCUCAAUUCAAAGGCCAACACAAGUUCAAGAAGAGGAGAAAUACACUCAGCUUCUAAGUGGCAUGGUUCUAGAAGAACACGUGUAAUCACAAAUAUUGUUGAAAUCAGUUUUCAAAAUACCAUAUGCUUCAGUCCACCUUCUGGCCACAGCAGUUCACAUCCUUCCAACAUGCAAAAAAUAUACUCAUUCCCUCCCCCAAUACCCGCAGCUACUAGGCUCAGGCUUGAGGUCCAGGUAUGGAUGAACUUCUUGGGUACAGUUCCUUAGAUAUAGCCCCUUGAGUAUAGUUCCUCUUGAUCUGAAGAGC